rnacentral:lncRNA from 1 species
CAAAAACAUUUUUUUAAUCUCUUAAGCAUUAUGGUUCACCUUGGAGAAGGAUUAAUGCUUCUGAGAUGGAGGUUUCUUUGCUGUUAGGGUGAAACCAUGAGUGCCUGCAACUCUCUUUUAAUGGAUUCUGGAAGUGGAGGCCGUCUGCAUCUCCUGCCUCUGAAAGCUGGAAUCUGAAAGCAUCCAGGCUGAGCUGUAUCUAGACUUCGUAGUUAUGCAGCGGCUUCACUGCAAAAUUCAACCUCUAAUUCUAGUUGCUUAUGGCAUAAACAAAGGGAAAUGGCAGCUAUUUGGUGUGGUAAAUGAACAUUUU